AGAUGUGCAGGCGAUGGAGUUCGCCUUAACCGCCCCUACCGGCUGAUGACUCCUACCACAUG
rnacentral:ncRNA from 2 species